rnacentral:rRNA from 1 species
CAUCACUACGCUAGAUGCAUAUCAAUAAGCGGAGGAAAAGAAACUAACAAGGAUUCCCUUAGUAACGGCGAGUGAAGCGGGAAGAGCUCAAAUUUGAAAUCUUCAAGGGUUUACCUUUACGAAUUGUAGUUUAAAGAAGUGUUUUCUGUUAGAGAGUUUGGUAAAAGUUCUUUGGAAUAGGACAUCAUAGAGGGUGAGAAUCCCGUAUUUGAUCACUUUCUACUAACUUUGUGAUACACUUUCAAAGAGUCGGAUUGUUUGGGAAUGCAGUCCAAAAUGGGUGGUAAACUUCAUCUAAAGCUAAAUAUUGGCGAGAGACCGAUAGCGAACAAGUACCGUGAGGGAAAGAUGAAAAGAACUUUGAAAAGAGAGUUAAACAGUACGUGAAAUUGUCAAAAGGGAAGCGUUUGACACCAGUGUUGUUUUUCCGAAAAUCAAUUAAGAAUGGCCGGAUUUUAAGUUUCAUGACCUUAAAAGCUUGUUUCUUAUUUUUCUUGUCUUUCUUAAUGCAGCUUUUCGGUUAACAAGUCAACAUCAAUUUCUUUUGUUGUAAAAGGUUAAGAGGAAGGUGGCUUUACUUUCGGGUAAAGUGUUUAUAGCCUUUUAACUCUGCAAUCGGAGAGAUUGAGGUCUGCAGCGUAGAUCCUUCGGGGCUAGAUACAUUUGUGCUAAGUUAUAGCUUUUCAUAGACAACUUGUUGACUAUGUUUAGUCUUGUAGCUUACUCGCAUGCGCUAUUUUACCUACGCUUAGGAUGUUGAUAUGCAUGACUGAUAU